rnacentral:lncRNA from 1 species
AUAUUAAGUUCAUCUGCCUAAUGACUUUUAAACUGGAUUGCACUUCCUCUCAUGGUCAUUUUUGAUUGAGGAAGAAAAUGGCAAAUGUCAGAUGUCACAAACUGAAGGAAAUAGAACACCACGUGGAAGAAAUGGCUGUAUGAAGAUUUGUAAGUAGAGGAGAAUCUGAAAGCUUUUGACCGAGAAGUAAAUGCGUUUGUGGAUUAUAUGUUUGGACCUCGAGAAGUGUAAGCGAAGCAGUCCAGAUCUUCAGGUUGCCAUUCRUAAACCACUCUUCAC